GUCCAGACUCCUACGGGAGGCAGCAGUGGGGAAUAUUGCACAAUGGGGGAAACCCUGAUGCAGCGACGCCGCGUGAGCGAUGAAGUAUUUCGGUAUGUAAAGCUCUAUCAGCAGGGAAGAAAAUGACGGUACCUGACUAAGAAGCCCCGGCUAACUACGUGCCAGCAGCCGCGGUAAUACGUAGGUGGCAAGCGUUGUCCGGAUUUACUGGGUGUAAAGGGCGUGUAGCCGGGCUGACAAGUCAGAUGUGAAAUCCGGGGGCUCAACCCCCGAACUGCAUUUGAAACUGUUGGUCUUGAGUAUCGGAGAGGCAGGCGGAAUUCCUAGUGUAGCGGUGAAAUGCGUAGAUAUUAGGAGGAACACCAGUGGCGAAGGCGGUCUGCUGGACAGCAACUGACGGUGAGGCGCGAAAGCGUGGGGAGCAAACAGGAUUAGAUACCCGGGUAC
rnacentral:rRNA from 1 species